rfam:Oryza nivara chromosome 9, whole genome shotgun sequence.
UUUAAGUGCAGUUGCGGGUUUCUAUACUGAACGUUUGACUGUCCGUCUUACUUGAAAUAUUUUUGUGAUUAGUAUUUCUAUUGUUAUUAGAUGAUAAAACAUGAAUAAUAUUUUAUGCGUGACUUGUUUUUAAUUUUUUUCAUAAAUUUUUAAAUAAGAUAGACAGUCAAACAUUGGACACGGAAACCUACAACUACACUUAAA